UUGGUUGAUGGUAUGUCUAGCCGCCUGGCC
rnacentral:piRNA from 1 species